rnacentral:rRNA from 1 species
CGAGUAGGCGGCAGGGCAAGUCUAGGGUGGAAUCCUAUGGCUUAACUAUAGAAUUGCCUUAGAAACUGCUUUGCUUGAGUCAGUGAGGGGAUGGCGGAAUUCCUGGUGUAGCGGUGAAAUGCGUAGAUAUCAGGAGGAAGGCCCGUGGCGAAGGCGGCCAUCUGGCACUGCACUGACGCUGAGGCGCGAAAGCGUGGGGAGCAAACA